rnacentral:lncRNA from 1 species
AAAAAUCUUGGACUUGGACCUCUUUCAUUUAAGCCCACAAAGCCACGAAAAUCAAGUUAUAAAUCCUGAAAUUUCAGUAAAGGAAAAAGGAGAAGGAGAAUUGGUGAAAGCUGAAAACACUCUGAAGUUUCCUUGGAACAAAACCCUAGAGAGAUUCUAACUAAUUCAGAGCAACCUCCAGAGACUGAAGGGAACUCAUCUGCAAAGAACCAAUU